GCCGACUGUCUUUGAUUUGGCGGCAGCUUUCGUUUGAUAAAUAAAGCCCAACAAAUUCAAAAUGGUGUCAUUGCCUGAACCCGAACAAUGUUCAUAUUACAGUGGACAGAAUCACAGACAUAAAGCAAAAAGAAAUCUUGCUGGAAUUUAGCGACACAGAAUGUUGAGCUCAUUGGAGAAGAUUCAGACAUGAGCAUGAAUGUGCUGUUCUGCACAAACAGAAGGUGAAGUGAAGGGAAAGCAACCUGCUUUGCAUCAUCUUUGAACAUUUCCCAGACAGAGGAAUUAAUUCUGGUGGCCCUCCAUUCCUGUCCAUCUCAGCUGAUGUUCCUUCACUCCCCUCAGCUGUUUUAUAAUUUUGGUGACCAGCUCUGGGAUUGUUGUUGACCUUGAUG